CUCCUACGGAGGCAGCAGUGGGGAAUCGUUGCGCAAUGCGCGAAAGCGUGACGCAGCAACGCCGCGUGGGGGAAGAAGGGCUUUCGGGUUGUAAACCCCGUUUCACGUUGGGACGAAGCUUCGCCGGUGAAUAGCCGGCCGGAGUGACGGUACCUUCACAAGAAGCACCGGCUAACUACGUGCCAGCAGCCGCGGUAAUAC
rnacentral:rRNA from 1 species